CUCUGUUAAUUCUAGUUUACUUUGAGUUAAAUGCCAUCUCUGACUGUUGGUCUGGCUUCACAAAUUGUUAUGAUUUGGAAUGCACUGCUUGAGAGGCUGGUGGAAAAUGUCAAAAGGAAACUCAGGGAAUGCUGCCUGGCCUGCUGAGAUCCUCCAGUGCUUAGUGUGUGUUGCAAGGAUUUCCAGCAUCUCCAGAUUCUCUCACGUCUGUGAGCUCACUGUGAUUAUUUGAAGGAAUACUGAACAUUUCUGCAACUAGCCUCUGCCUGCAUGUCAGAAGGAGGAAGACAGCCUGAUGAUCAGAUUUCCUGAAAUGCGGCCUAGGGAUGGAAUGAGUUCUUUUGAAGACCCUGACCUGGAGCUACACGCAGAUUGUGGUUCUUUGAGGGACCUGCUCUUGGGGUUUCAGGACUGGCUGUUGUUCGGUGCGAGAGUCCAGCUCGGAUUUCUGGGCUCUGGAGACAGGCCGAUCGAAGGUCAGUGUCGUCGGGGGAAUCCAGAUAUCUGCUGUGUGCCUGGACACCCGGGAUCUUUGUUUGCAACCUAAGGAUGAGCUGGGGGCUGCCCACAAGUGUUGCCAUGCUUUCUGGUGCCAACAUAGAAUGCCCACAACGUUCAGCAGAACAACAGAAGCAACAACAACAACAACACAACAACAGCAGUAAAAGCUCCUUUCCUCUCUCCCACCCACCCACUCCC